rnacentral:rRNA from 1 species
UACGUAGGGGGCAAGCGUUAUCCGGAUUUACUGGGUGUAAAGGGAGCGUAGACGGCGAUGCAAGUCUGAAGUGAAAGCCCGGGGCUCAACCCCGGGACUGCUUUGGAAACUGUAUGGCUAGAGUGCUGGAGAGGCAAGCGGAAUUCCUAGUGUAGCGGUGAAAUGCGUAGAUAUUAGGAAGAACACCAGUGGCGAAGGCGGCUUGCUGGACAGUAACUGACGUUGAGGCUCGAAAGCGUGGGGAGCAAACAGG